UUGACAUCUCAUCUGGGGUCACCUGGUCUUCAACUGAGAGAUCUUUUGGUUCGCCACGGAUGCCCCUUGCAGUUAUGGAAGUUCACUCUUUGAGAGAGAGAUAAAUAAACAUUAAAAUGUAAAGAAAAAAAAAAUCAGCAAUGGAAGGAAAAAGGAACAAAAAGCAAUCCAUUGGCGUCAAGCUUGACUGGACCACUCCACUGCUCUGCUGCCGUUAGUGAACCUGACCCUGCAGCAGGAGUCACAGACUCACCACUCACCUCAAGUCCUCACUCCCUGGACCCUCAAUCUACACAUCACUUUGUCUUUUAUUUCCCUGAGAAAUACAGGCCAUCAGUUUGCAGAUCCCUCCUUUCCCCUUACCCUGCAAAUCUCCAUCUAUUUGGAAAAGUGUGCCUCCUACAUUCCAAAGCUAACCCCUCCUCCUCUGCCACUAAUAUCAGCCCUACCUGCCUUCUUCUGUAACUUGCUCCAUUAAUUCCCUCCCCUCUCCCCCAGGUCUCCCUGCCUAUGAACAUAUUCAAGGACAUCAUAUCUUAAAAACAAACAAAUAUCAGGCACAAUGGCUCACACCUGUAAUCCCAGCACUUUGAGAGGUCAAGGCAGGAGAAUCACUUGAAUCCAGGGGUUCAAGACCAGCCUGGGAAACAUAGGGAGACCCUAUCUCUACAAAAAAUAUUUUUUAAAAAAAUUAGCCAGGUGUGGUGGUGUGCACCUGUAGUCCCAACUACUCAGAAGGCUGGGGUGGGAGAAAUAUUUCAGCCCAGGACGUCACUGUGCACAAUUGCUUUACUUUUUUUUCCCUUGGUAUAGACUUGUUGAAGAGUAAGCCUUCAUGUACUGUUUCCUCACUUUACAUUCACUCUCAACUGGAGACAAUAUAGAGUCUUCGCAGAUGCAGCUUUCUCCAGACCAACAAUGUGGUUAGACAUCUGGUUUUUCAUUGUUGUUGUUUGAUUUCUCUGACUAGCUUCCCUGACCAGAGGUCGUUUUGAGUUUCCUUCUCUGGAAUUUGACCACUGAGCAGAGACACAUAGGAGAGAAGACGUGAAUGCUGAGUCAUCAAUCAGCAUCACUGGGAAGAAAAAGCCUCUCAGUUUCUUCUGCUGGGACUCCCAGAGCUGGAGUAUUUUCUGCUCUUCCUAAGGCCUGGUUCUUUGUGAUGAAACAAAUCCGCCUCAACCCAGAACACUAGCAAAGCGUGGGGUAAGGCAAAUAAGACUUAAAAAUUUUGAUGAUUUGUAGAAAACAGAAGUUCACAGUUCAGCAGUUCCUUCUUGCUUGGGAUGAUCUUCACAACACCAGCCCCCAAAUGGAAGGGUAACUAACUGCUCCAGUUCAGUUGGCUACCUUGUGAGGCUGGCAUCCAUUCCUAGCAAAAAUGGGCAGAAAUGGGGAAAUGCCUCCCCUUAAGACCAUAGCUUUUCACCUUGACCUUCCUCCAUUUUAUCUACUCCAGAAGGUCUCCACCAAGCUCCCAGCAGCACAGCAUGCUCAAAACCUGACAUAUCCAUGGUAACUUUUCACAGCAAUGUGAUGAAAUUUGAGAAACAAACCAGAAAUGUAAUGUGAUCACCCACAUCAUAUCAGCCUCACAGGCAAUCAAGAGCUUGGCUUCAAUUACAAAAUGAACUCCAGAAAUCUUCCAACAGUUAGUCAAUCCCAG
rnacentral:lncRNA from 1 species